GCGGCAGGCCUAACACAUGCAAGUCGAGCGGAUGAAGGGAGCUUGCUCCUGGAUUCAGCGGCGGACGGGUGAGUAAUGCCUAGGAAUCUGCCUGGUAGUGGGGGAUAACGUCCGGAAACGGGCGCUAAUACCGCAUACGUCCUGAGGGAGAAAGUGGGGGAUCUUCGGACCUCACGCUAUCAGAUGAGCCUAGGUCGGAUUAGCUAGUUGGUGGGGUAAAGGCCUACCAAGGCGACGAUCCGUAACUGGUCUGAGAGGAUGAUCAGUCACACUGGAACUGAGACACGGUCCAGACUCCUACGGGAGGCAGCAGUGGGGAAUAUUGGACAAUGGGCGAAAGCCUGAUCCAGCCAUGCCGCGUGUGUGAAGAAGGUCUUCGGAUUGUAAAGCACUUUAAGUUGGGAGGAAGGGCAGUAAGUUAAUACCUUGCUGUUUUGACGUUACCAACAGAAUAAGCACC
rnacentral:rRNA from 1 species